UACGGAGGGGGCUAGCGUUGUUCGGAAUUACUGGGCGUAAAGCGCACGUAGGCGGCUUUGUAAGUUAGAGGUGAAAGCCCAGGGCUUAACCCUGGAAUUGCCUUUAAGACUGCAUCGCUAGAAUUGUGGAGAGGUAAGUGGAAUUCCGAGUGUAGAGGUGAAAUUCGUAGAUAUUCGGAAGAACACCAGUGGCGAAGGCGACUUACUGGACACAUAUUGACGCUGAGGUGCGAAAGCGCGGGGAGCAAACAGG
rnacentral:rRNA from 1 species